CAUAAAAGUGGCUCUUCCCUUAUCUUAAUGCUCUGUGUACAGUGGGAAUAUUAUCUGAUGAUAUAACAUGAUUGGAGGUAUCGUACUGUUAAUCGCCAUACUCUGUGAUCACGCCAUUGCACAGAAUUCGUGUCCGACUCAAUGGUUUCAUCAUGGAAGUUCAUGCUAUGCGUUUGUCACUAAUCUCAAAGCAAACUGGAUUGAUUCUGAGGCAUUCUGUCGGAUUCAAAGCUUGUGGAGAUUGGUUCUGCAGAUGAAGAUAAAUUUCUUCGAGGACAUUUAACAGCGAAUCAUAUCUCAGAACAUUUCUGGGUUGGAGGUACGGAUGCGUUUGCAGAAGGUAAGUGGGUGUGGAUGUCUACACUGGACCCCCUGGACUACACAGGGUGGAAUCCCGGGGAACCCAACAACGGCGUGGGGGCCGCCUGUAUGACGCUAGCCUACCACCUGGGUUAUCACUGGAAUGAUGACUUCUGCACUAAAACAUACGACUUUAUUUGCGAAAGAGAAAGUGAAAAUCCAAGCAUACAAGUCAUAGGAUGAUCCUAUUGCAGAGCGAAACAUGCAUGUAAUAUUGAUCGUGGUGUUCUAUACGAUCAUAUAUUGAUAUACAUGUAGAAUAUAAGUAAAAUCUUGUUGAUGCUUC